AGAAUCAACGCUGGCGGCGUGCCUAACACAUGCAAGUCGAACGCGAAAGUCCCGCAAGGGAUGAGUAGAGUGGCAAACGGGUGAGUAACACGUGGGUGACCUGCCUUCGAGUGGGGGAUAACGUCCCGAAAGGGACGCUAAUACCGCAUAACAUCCUGUCCUUAGACGGACGGAGAUCAAAGCUAGGGAUCGCAAGACCUGGCGCUUAAAGAGGGGCCCGCGCCUGAUUAGCUAGUUGGUGAGGUAACGGCUCACCAAGGCUACGAUCAGUA
rnacentral:rRNA from 1 species